AUUUCAGUGUUUCUAUAUAUGCACCCGCAGGGAGCAGAGUUGCGCAUAACUUUUCCGGCGUCGCUCACAUCGCUAUUCGCCGACCGCUAUCACGUGGUGCAAAGUGACGUCAAAUGUUCAACUGAGUCGCUGAAAAGCCAACUUCACGGGUGCGACGCCUACUCAUUUCUGUCAUAUCCAUCGAAAUUGCAAUCAGCCGACCGUCGAGCUGCGUUGGACCGAUCGGCUCCGGUUUGCAGUAUGACAGGGUGCAGCGCACGAAACUGCACAAGUCGCACGGAAGGUGGCAGAGCUUUUUACGCCUUGCCGAGCGGAUGGACGAGAUUGGCCGGCACCGAAGGGACCAGGAUAUGCGAGGCGCAUUCACCUUGUUUAUAGAGUGGCUUCUCCCCUCCAAGGAUCCAAGAACCAGCAGUCACAUUACCUGCUCCCAUCAGCCAUUGCUCAUCCAUUCCCAUGUACGAAAUAAAUUUUAUCCUGAA